rnacentral:tRNA from 1 species
GGCCCUAUCGACUAAGGGUUUAGGUCGCAACCCUCUCAAGGUUGAAAUACGAGUUCGAAUCUCGUUGGGGCUA